rnacentral:rRNA from 1 species
AUGUUCAUGCAGAUAAUACAAAUGACUUUUACGUCUCACGAGGCUGCGUAUGAUUUCUACAACAGCUAUGCUAGAGAUAAUGGUUUCAGCAUUAGAAAGAAUAGGGUCAGGUAUAGCAAAACCGAGUCACGUCAUAUGCGUUAUAGGUGGUUUGUUUGUUCCAGACAAGGAAAAUGUGACAGCAGGUUGCUAACCGAGGAAGGACACAGCCGUAGGCUCAGACCCGAGACACGCUGCCACUGCGAAGCGCACCUGACCGUGAAGCUUGACCAAAAGCGUGGGGUUUGGUAUGUUGAUAGUUUUGAGGACAAGCAUAGCCAUAUCUUGGUAGGACCGGAUGAGGUACCUUUUCUUUGGUCCCACAGAAAAAUCAAAGAGUACCAGAGAGCUGAGAUACUGUCCAUGGGAGCUGCAGGGAUUAGAAUUCACGACAUGAUGGAUACCUUCAUCAACAAACAUGUAUGGUAUGGCGGUGUUGGUUUUACCAGGCGUGAAAUAUACAACCUUUACGCCAGGGAGAAGAGGAAGCUGCUUUCAAAAGGUGAUGCUGCCACAGUCAUAGGCAUCAUGGUCAGUAGGAAACAGAGGGAUCCUAACUUCUUUUUCGAGUACAAGCUAGACAAGGAAGGACAUAUGAAUAGGAUGUUCUGGUGUGACUCCCAGUCUCGUCAUGACUAUGAGGACUUCGGCGACGUGCUUGUAUUUGACAGCACGUACAAGAUGAACCGGUAUGGUAUGCCAUUCAUACCCUUUGUUGGUCUUAACAAUCACCGGAAGACCACUGUUUUUGCUUGUGCCAUAGUUUCGGACGAGACCGAAGAGACAUAUGUGUGGCUGCUGGAGACUUUCUUGAGGUCCAUGUGUCAAAAGAUGCCGAAGAGUGUUAUCACGGACGCCGACGCUGCGAUGAUCAAGGCAAUUCGCCAAGUCUUGCCAGACACCGUAUAUGUACGUGGCAUAUAG